rnacentral:rRNA from 1 species
UACGUAGGGGGCCAGCGUUGCUCGGAAUUAUUGGGCGUAAAGGGUCCGUAGGCGGUGUAGCAAGUCGAUAGUGAAAUCUCUGGGCUUAACCCAGAGGCUGCUAACGAAACUGCUGUGCUAGAGUGUGAGAGAGGCGAGUGGAAUUACGGGUGUAGCGGUGAAAUGCGUAGAUAUCCGUAGGAACAUCCGAGGCGAAGGCGGCUCGCUGGAUCACAACUGACGCUGAGGGACGAAAGCUAGGGGAGCAAACAGG